CACGUAGCAGUCUCCUCUGUGCCGCUUCUCCACCUUCAGCUUGCUGCCAUAAUUCCGGUGUUUACCUUCAGGACUAGUUGGAAAGUAUCGAUGGGGUUUCCACAGGGAGGCGGUGACGCAGCCACAAUGACGAAGCACUAAGUACUGGUGAUGGGUGGAGAUCAGAGGUGGGAGCUUUUCUUAAAAUCCUCAUGGGUUUCUUAUUUAGUUCUCACACAGUCUAUAAAGCAAAGAUGGUGCUUUUUUCUCACACACGCAAAGACAUUUUUGUUUGAGGCUGUCUUUACAGGUGAGUGUGUCCCUGCAGCGGCACAGCUGAGGGGACUGACUCGGGGUAGAUGGGGCUGCUCUGCCACCUAUAUGACAGCUUUACGCUGACUCCACACAGAGGCGCUGUUGUGCAUGCAUGUGUCAGAGUGCAGGUAAUGCUACAGUCACCAAGGAACUAUUAUAUUUACUGAGACGUGUUUCUGUAUAUGUAUCACGAGUUAAUAAAAGUUGUGUUACUGCA